rnacentral:rRNA from 1 species
GAUGAACGCUGGCGGCGUGCCUAAUACAUGCAAGUCGAGCGAACAGAUAAGGAGCUUGCUCCUUUGACGUUAGCGGCGGACGGGUGAGUAACACGUGGGUAACCUACCUAUAAGACUGGAAUAGCUCCGGGAAACCGGGGCUAAUGCCGGAUAACAUUUAGAACCGCAUGGUUCUAAAGUGAAAGAUGGUUUUGCUAUCACUUAUAGAUGGACCCGCGCCGUAUUAGCUAGUUGGUAAGGUAACGGCUUACCAAGGCAACGAUACGUAGCCGACCUGAGAGGGUGAUCGGCCACACUGGAACUGAGACACGGUCCAGACUCCUACGGGAGGCAGCAGUAGGGAAUCUUCCGCAAUGGGCGAAAGCCUGACGGAGCAACGCCGCGUGAGUGAUGAAGGUCUUCGGAUCGUAAAACUCUGUUAUUAGGGAAGAACAAAUGUGUAAGUAACUGUGCACGUCUUGACGGUACCUAAUCAGAAAGCCACGGCUAACUACGUG